rnacentral:rRNA from 11 species
GUCGUGAGACAGGUUAGUUUUACCCUACUGAUGGAGGGUUAUCGCAAUAGUAAUUCAACUUAGUACGAGAGGAACCGUUGAUUCAGAUAAUUGGUUUUUGCGGCUGUCUGACCAGGCAGUGCCGCGACGCUACCAUCUGCCGGAUAAUGGCUGAACGCCUCUAAGUCAGAAUCCGUGCCGGAACGCGGUGAUACCGCCCCGCACGUCGUAGUUGGAUACGAAUAGGC